CUACGGGUGGCAGCAGUGAGGAAUUUUGCGCAAUGGGCGAAAGCCUGACGCAGCGACGCCGCGUGAAGGAUGAAGUCCUUCGGGAUGUAAACUUCUGUCAGUGGGAACGAAUUUUGACGGUACCCACAAAGGAAGCACCGGCUAACUCCGUGCCAGCAGCCGCGGUAAUACGGAGGGUGCAAGCGUUGUUCGGAUUUACUGGGCGUAAAGCGUACGCAGGCGGUUGGUUAAGUUCAGUGUUAAAUCUCAAGGCUCAACCUUGAAACUGCACUGGAUACUGGCUAACUUGAGGGCAAUAGAGGAGGGUGGAAUUCCCAGUGUAGCGGCGAAAUGCGUAGAUACUGGGAGGAACAUCAGUAGCGAAGGCGACCCUCUGGGUUGUCCCUGACGCUGAGGUACGAAAGCGUGGGGAGCAAACGGGAUUAGAUACCCGGGUAGUC
rnacentral:rRNA from 1 species